UAUGCAAUGAGUUUAAGCUCAAAACAUCCUGCAAAUAUACAUACACAUAAUGAAAGAAAGAAAGAAAAAACGGAAAAAAAGAUCACAUAUUUAUAUGUUUUUUUUUUUUUUUUUUUUUUUUUCUUUCUCCUAAUUUGUGUAAUUUUUAUAAAAACAGGAAGGAAGGUCUGAGAUGCUGCAUUUAAAGAAUAGAAAAAAAAGUUAUAACAUUCAUUGUUACUUUUUAUUUCAUAUAUAUAUAUAUAUAUAUAUAUAUAUAUAUAUUCUUUAAUAAAAUUUUUGAGAGAAAAAGUAUUGAACAAAUAUUAAUUAGUUACCAGAAAUAUCAAUCAUAUAUUUAAAAUUUCGUAAGAAAUUUUGUGUAUGAUUUUGAAAAAGCUAAUAAGCAAGUAUACAUUGGUGAGUUCGAUUUUUGAGGUUUUUCUUUAUUCCUACAUCUCAUAUAUCAAUAUUUUUUUUAUAAUGUAUACGAGAUGUUAAUAAGAAAAAUAACUUAAUUCAGACUACUCCUAAAUUCAUUGCUACAA
rnacentral:RNase_P_RNA from 1 species